GCGUCAACGACGAAGGUCUGCGAUUAGGCAGUCUGGAGUGCAUGUGUAAUUAGAACGGCUCUUGUGCAUGUGUAAUUACAACGGCUCUUGUGCAUACGGUGCCGGGGUUCUAAACACAGACCCUACGCGACCACUGUCAUGCAUUGCAAUCAAGGGUACUUCAGUUAUUUCAACUAGCGCAUUUUCACAUUUUCAUCUACAUUUCGUUUAGAUGAUGAAAUUUUAAAUUAUUAAAGAAUUUUAAAUUAACAAAAAUUUGAAAUGAUUGAAUUUUAUUUUUUAAAACUUGUGAAUAUUCUUUUUUUUAGUUAACUUAAAAAAGAUGAAAUUUAAUGUGGGUAUUGAGUCGUUAAUAUGUAGAUGAGAGAUAGUAGUUAAGAAAUAUGCUAGUAGUGGUGGUGGAGAUGACAGCAAAUUAGUGAUGAUGGUGGGUGGUGACGACAAUGGUGAUGAUGGUAGGUAGUGGAAUCGGCACAUGAUGGCUAUGAUGGUGGGGUGGUGCUGGUCCCAAAUUCUCACUCAUUGAAAUUAGGAAAUGACAACUAUUUAUAUUAAAUUUAAACUUGGAAAUUUGAGGUUUUAAAUUCUAAAUUUUUUUUUUCAUGCGAAAAUUUUAAAUUCAAUUUUUUUUUAAUCCAGACGAGGGAAUUUGUGCACGUAAAUUUAUAAAUUCUCGCUUUUGUACAAAUUUUAAGUUAAUUCCCUUAUCCAAAUGUAGUGUGUGACAUCCCGUUCCGAGAUUUAAUGUAUUUGAUUCCCUGUAGCAAUGAAAUUUCUAAAAUGUUCCUGAGAUGCCACGUAAGCCUUCCACAUGAAUCUCAAUUUUCCUUUCACUUUUCCACUCUUAUUUUACUAUUUCUAAAUAAUACUUAUUUUUACAAACACGUAGCCUCAAACAGAAUUCAAUUCAUAAUUAUAACAAAUAUGUUACGUUCGAUAUUGUGUAAAAAUACAUGAACAAAGAAUUUUCUGGUUAUGCAGCGUGCACCACUGCAUGUGUUCUUUUUGGAACAGGAAAUCAGUCUUCGUGCAAUGUAAAAACUUACAUGAGUUGAUUGAUUUGAUUAAAGAAAAACAAGUUAGUUUUAAUUAAUAUUUUAUUAGAUUUGAGUGUGUGAGUGGGACCUUGUGCAGAAUGAAAGCUUGCACUUAUUCUGAUGAAAAUUCAGAGCAUGCAAGUGCGAUUAAAAUAAUAGUU
rnacentral:lncRNA from 1 species